ACAAUUGGGCUCUAGGUAAGUAAUAAUAGGAGAUAGACGUGGCAUCAAGAGGAGAGUUGUGCAUACUUCUGAGUCUAAUUUAGUCCUCUGCAAAACUAUUAACAUGUUAUGUGAUGGUCCCUAAUAUCACUGAGGUUCAGUAAUUCAUUAGAAGUACUCACAACACUCAAAAGUUGUUAUACUCAAGGUUAUGGUUUAUCAUAGCAAAAUUAUACAAAUCAAAAUCUGCAAAGGGAAAGUGCAUAGGGCAAAAUCUGGAUGAAAUCAGGUUCAUAUUCUUUCCUAGUGGAGCAGCAUAGGACCCAUUUAAUUUUUCCAGCAAACAGUGUGACAAAAUGCUUUAAGUGUUGUCUCUAAGGAAAUAUCAUUAGAGAAUCAGUAUUCAAGGUUUGCACAGAAGCUGUUGCUGUACGCAUCCUCUGUCUUGUGGUCAGCCUACAGAGCAGGAUAGAUCAGCACCCAAAAUUUGGUUUGGAUAAAAAGUGUUAACUGUGAGUGGGUUUUGGGGUUAGGAUUACAGAAGGAAACACAAUU
rnacentral:lncRNA from 1 species